GGGCCCGCACAAGCAGCGGAGCAUGUGGUUUAAUUCGAAGCAACGCGAAGAACCUUACCAAGGCUUGACAUCCUCUGACGCAUGUAGAGAUACAUGUUCCCUUCGGGGCAGAGAGACAGGUGGUGCAUGGUUGUCGUCAGCUCGUGUCGUGAGAUGUUGGGUUAAGUCCCGCAACGAGCGCAACCCUUAUUGCUAGUUGCCAGCAUGUAAAGAUGGGAACUCUAGUGAGACUGCCGGGGACAACUCGGAGGAAGGUGGGGACGACGUCAAAUCAUCAUGCCCCUUAUGUCUUGGGCUACACACGUGCUACAAUGGCCGGUACAAAGGGCAGCGAACCUGUAAGGGGAAGCGAAUCUCAAAAAGCCGGUCUCAGUUCGGAUUGUGGGCUGCAACCCGCCCACAUGAAGUCGGAGUUGCUAGUAAUCGCGAAUCAGCAUGUCGCGGUGAAUGCGUUCCCGGGCCUU
rnacentral:rRNA from 1 species